rnacentral:ncRNA from 6 species
ACUGCAGUGAAGGCACUUGUAGC